rnacentral:rRNA from 1 species
AUACGGAGGGUGCAAGCGUUAAUCGGAAUUACUGGGCGUAAAGCGUGCGUAGGCGGUUCGUUAAGUUAGAUGUGAAAGCCCCGGGCUUAACCUGGGAACUGCAUUUAAAACUGGCGAACUAGAGUUGAGUAGAGGGGAGUGGAAUUUCAGGUGUAGCGGUGAAAUGCGUAGAGAUCUGAAGGAACACCAGUGGCGAAGGCGACUCCCUGGACUCGAACUGACGCUGAGGUACGAAAGCGUGGGUAGCAAACGGGAUUAGAUACCCUAGUAGUCCC